UACAGGGGUCGUCAAGCGUUGUUCGGAUUCAUUGGGCGUAAAGGGUGCGUAGGCGGCGCGGUAAGUCGGGUGUGAAAUCUUGGAGCUUAACUCCGAAACUGCAUUCGAUACUGCCGUGCUUGAGGACUGGAGAGGAGACUGGAAUUUACGGUGUAGCGGUGAAAUGCGUAGAUAUCGUAAGGAAGACCAGUGGCGAAGGCGGGUCUCUGGACAGUUCCUGACGCUGAGGCACGAAGGCCAGGGGAGCAAACAGG
rnacentral:rRNA from 1 species